rnacentral:lncRNA from 1 species
AUUAAUUAUUAAUUAUUUGCCAUAGUGGGAAUUGAACCCAGGGCUUUGUGUGUUACAGGCAAGCUUUAGUACCCCACUAUAUCCCCUCAUUUAACAAUAUUCAUUUUGUGAGAGCAUCUCAAUUUGCUUAGGUGGUCGUUGAAUUUGCUGCAAAGCUCCAGCAGCCCUUGAACUAGGGAUCCCCCUGCCUCAACCUCCUAAGCCCCUGGGAUUGCAAGCCAGUGCUGCCAUGCUCAGCUAACAGUAUUUUAUUUUUGUUGAGUCUCUUAAUCUAGCUACAGCAAAUGAUGUUGUUUUCUAUCAUACUUCUGUUUUUCAGUGGCUGUGCAGCCCAGGCUCUUUCAGAACUUGCUAGGUAGUUUAGGAUAGCCAUGAACUCCUGAUCUUUGUGCUUCUACUUCCCAAGUAUUGGGAAUACAACUGCGUGCCACUGUACCCCACUUGUAGUUUCAUUUUAAAAUGUUUUUUGUUUGGUUUGGUUUGUGGUUUUUGAGACAGAGUUUCUCUGUGUAGCCCUGGCUGUCCUGGAACUCACUCUGUAGACCAGGCUGGCCUCAAACUCAGAGAUCUACGUGCCUCAGCCUCCUGAGUUCUGAAACUAAAGCAGAUGAAACAGCUGGGCACGGUGGCAUGGACCUGUAUUCUCAGCACUCCGGGGCUCUGGACAAGGAGGAUGGAAGGUUUGUAGUCUUAGCACAAAGCCCUGGAACUUGGUUCCCAGAAUUUCAAAGGAGGAGGGAAUAAAAGAAGUUCAGAUACAGCAAGAGUGGCUCUUCAGCAGUGGGGUUUAGGUAAAUAUCCAAAAGAACUGAGUGACCAAUUUCAGGAAUGCUUAAUCAGCAUUGGGAACUGUUUUUCUGCAGGCAGCUGUUCUGCUCAAUGAAUUUAGGCUCUCUGGCUUCUAUAGAAGCCUUAAGACUCUAGGCCGGGGGAAACCUUCAGGUAGUUUUCAGUUCUUUUGUUUCCUGGAGGCCAGGAAGUAUUUUUCAUUUAGUUCUCAGCCAAGACUUGCAGGUCUCCCACCCCCAGUUAAGAACUCCCAGGGGGAAAAAAAAAAAGAACUCCCAGGCUUACCUUGGAAGACCUCUUCCGCUUCUCGGCUUCUUUUCUGCUGAUCUUCUUGGAUUUCUUGUUCAGUGCUUCAAAGGAAGACAGAAAGGAGCAAAGCCAGAUGUUUCUGGGGGCCCAAGUUGUGGUGAAGUGGGAGGAGCAGAGGGGGCUCUGGGAAGUCUCAGGGUGGAGGAGAGAAAGAGGGACUUCCGGAUGAACCACAUUGCGGAAUCAAGCCAUCAGGUUCUGAUUAGCCUGGCUUCAGACCCAAAGAGCAGUGUGCUCUGAGGGGAGGCCAAGAAUAAAUCCGAGGGGGACCUGGGACCUGUCAGUGCCAUCUGUUGAGAGACCCGGUGUUUGACCUUGCUAACCCAUGAUCUCUGCUCGAUCACUCCAGGUACCCCCAUUUUAGUUUUAUUCUUGCAGGUGCAAGAACAUUACCAGCCUCUGAAAAUGGACUCAACCUUUGGUUACUGGACACAUCGGUUACUACUACUACUACUAAUUAUUAUUAUUAAAUCUCAUAGCCAUGUAUACCUGACUCAAACCUAUAUAACAGCUAUGAUCAGUUCCUUGACAAUAGUUUUCUUAUCUCCCAGAAAGAGUUCUAUCAUAAUUUUUUAUAAGUUUACAAAACAAAAAGUCUGAGUGGGGCUGGAGAGGUGGCUCAGCAGUUGAGAUUACUUGGUGUUUGUUUCUGGUUUGUUUCUUCACAGACUCACAGUGGUGACUCAUAACUGCCUGUAACUCCAGUUUCAGAGGGUUCCAACAUCCUCUUCUGGCCUCUGAGGGUACUGGGCACACACACAGUGUAUAAGCAUACAAGAAGGAGUGAGCCAGGAAGCACCAUAGCUCUGGUGGUGGCAGCCCAGGCAACUGGCUUGACAUACAGUGCUCCCUCUCGUGGGUCAGAGCCUAGAGGCUGGGUCCCAAGGCAGGCUACUUACCCACGAUAGAAACAGAGGAGAAAUCCAGCGAGUUCAUGGAGGAGUUACUCCGCAGACUCCUGUCAUCUCCAAGCGUCUCCUCGAGUGCCAGGUGGCUGUGGACGGUGAAGAAGCACAGGAAGCCCACUAGGGUGGCCAGGAGUAGGCGGGUGACAUCCAUCCUGAGAAGCCUAAGUUGGGCAGAGAAGCAACAGUCCCUAGAGACCUUAGGCCUAGGCAGAGUUGUUCAAAGUGCCUCCUGGUCCCCAGGAGUGCUUCACAGUGGCAGGGGUCUCUUCUAAGGUGAAGAGAAUACAGCUAACAAGUUAGACUUCAGUGAGAAGGACGAAGGAUAAAGGCUCCUGCAGACAAGUGUAUGUCAUAUACCAGAUUCCCUGCUGACCCACAGGAAACAAAUUGUGUCAAGGCAUGUCAACAGAAGCUAAAAGGACUUCUUUAUAGCCUGAGUUGGAAGGGGCAGAUGGAUUUUUAGCAGAUUUCUUUCCUCAAACGCCUUCUGUCACUAUUGGAUCCCCACCCCUUCCCACCCCACUGUCUCAUUUCCCUCUUGGGUUUUGGAAAAGCCUGGGUCUGCAUUUCCAAGGUUGCCUCCACCCGAGGCACAUGGACCAUCAGAAGAGAGUACUUAUUUUGAUCCUAUCCACUCUCCCUGACCAGCGCCAGCUUCCUCCUCUUUGUUCUCAGAUUGGUUGGUGUGCUGGCCAGUUUUAUGUCAAUGUGACACAAGUCAGAGUCAUUUGGGAAGAGGGAACUUCCAUUCAGAAAUUGUCCCUACCAGACUGGCCUGUGAGAAAGCCUGUUGUGGUACAUUUUCUUGAUUGAUGAUUAGUGUGGGAGGGUCCAGCUCACUGUGGGCAGUGCCACUCCUGGCGUAGUGGUCCUGGGUACUAUAAGAAAGCAGGCUAGGUAAGCCACGAAGAGCAAACCACAAAGCAGCACUCCUCCAUGACCUCUGCAUCAGCUUCUGCCUCCAUGUUCCUGCCUGAUUUCCUCUGGUGAUGGACUGUGACCCGAGGGUUGUAACCUGGAAUAAACCCUCCCUUCUCCAAGUUUCCUUUGGUCAUGAUGUUCAAUUGAAGCAAAAGAAACACUAACCAAGACA